GACUCAAAAAAAAGUAAAUGCGAACAACAUCGUUCCUUUCGCUCGUAAAGCAGUAGCCGUAGCCUAAAAACUCUCGUCUAAUGUGAGCGUCUAUAGUUUGACUCCGUUAAGGACUAUAGACCAACCCCCAACGGAUGCUCUAGCAAAUGUUCUCUGGGUGGUUUGCUAGUCAAGACUUAACCAGUGAAUCCCACCGUCCGGGAUAAGGGACGGUUCCCGCCUUGAGGAUUAGAUAGGAUAAACCUGUGAAUGAACGGGGAGUCAAUACCCAAUUUGGACACGGGUUCAAUUCCCGUAAGCUCCAUGA
rnacentral:tmRNA from 1 species